GACUUUGAUUCUGGCUCCAGGACGAACGCCUGGCGGCACGCUUAACCACAUGCAAGUCGAACGAGAGAAGAGAAGCUUGCUUUUCUGAUCUAGUGGCGGACGGGUGAGUAACACGUGAGCAAUCUGCCUUUCAGAGGGGGAUACCGAUUGGAAACGAUCGUUAAUACCGCAUAAUAUAAUUGAACCGCAUGAUUUGAUUAUCAAAGAUUUAUCGCUGAAAGAUGAGCUCGCGUCUGAUUAGCUAGUUGGUAAGGUAACGGCUUACCAAGGCGACGAUCAGUAGCCGGACUGAGAGGUUGAUCGGCCACAUUGGGACUGAGACACGGCCCAGACUCCUACGGGAGGCAGCAGUGGGGAAUAUUGCACAAUGGAGGAAACUCUGAUGCAGCGAUGCCGCGUGAGGGAAGAAGGUUUUAGGGUUGUAAACCUCUGUCUUCAGGGACGAAAAAAGACGGUACCUGAGGAGGAAGCUCCGGCUAACUACGUGCCAGCAGCCGCGGUAAUACGUAGGGAGCGUGCGUUGUCCGGAAUUACUGGGUGUAAAGGGAGCGUAGGCGGGAUCGCAAGUCAGAUGUGAAAACUAUGGGCUUAACCCAUAAACUGCAUUUGAAACUGUGGUUCUUGAGUGAAGUAGAGGUAAGCGGAAUUCCUAGUGUAGCGGUGAAAUGCGUAGAUAUUAGGAGGAACAUCAGUGGCGAAGGCGGCUUACUGGGCUUUAACUGACGCUGAGGCUCGAAAGCGUGGGGAGCAAACAGGAUUAGAUACCCUGGGUAGUCCACGCCGUAAACGAUGAUUACUAGGUGGUGGGGGGGGACUGACCCCUUCCGUGCCGCAGCAAACG
rnacentral:rRNA from 1 species